rnacentral:rRNA from 1 species
GAUGAACGCUGGCGGCGUGCCUAACACAUGCAAGUCGAGCGAACGGACGAGAAGAUUGCUUUUCUGAUGUUAGCGGCGGACGGGCGAGUAACACGUGGAUAACCUACCUAUAAGACUGGGAUAACUUCGGGAAACCGGAGCUAAUACCGGAUAAUAUUUUGAACCGCAUGGUUCAAAAGUGAAAGACGGUCUUGCUGUCACUUAUAGAUGGAUCCGCGCUGCAUUAGCUAGUUGGUAAGGUAACGGCAUACCAAGGCAACGAUGCAUAGCCCACCUGAGAGGGGUGUCGGCCCCCCUGGAACUGGAACGAGGUCCGGACCCCUACGGGACGGAACGGAAGGGAAUCGUCCGCAAUGGGCGAAAGCCUGACGGAACAACGCCGCGUGAGUGAUGAAGGUCUUCGGAUCGUAAAACUCUGUUAUUAGGGAAGAACAUAUGUGUAAGUAACUGUGCACAUCUUGACGGUACCUAAUCAGAAAGCCACGGCUAACUACGUG